CAGUCGCCGCGGGAAUACGGAGGGGGCUAGCGUUGUUCGGAAUUACUGGGCGUAAAGCGCACGUAGGCGGCUUGGUAAGUUAGAGGUGAAAGCCCGGAGCUCAACUCCGGAAUUGCCUUUAAGACUGCCGAGCUAGUAGGUGAGAGAGGUAAGUGGAAUUCCGAGUGUAGAGGUGAAAUUCGUAGAUAUUCGGAAGAACACCAGUGGCGAAGGCGGCUUACUGGCUCAUUCUAGACGCUGAGGUGCGAAAGCGUGGGGAGCAAACAGGAUUAGAUACCCGUGUAGUCCCUGUCUCUUAUAC
rnacentral:rRNA from 1 species